UACGGAGGGAGCUAGCGUUGUUCGGAAUUACUGGGCGUAAAGCGCGCGUAGGCGGCUUUGUAAGUUAGAGGUGAAAGCCCGGAGCUCAACUCCGGAACUGCCUUUAAAACUGCAUCGCUUGAAUCCAGGAGAGGUGAGUGGAAUUCCGAGUGUAGAGGUGAAAUUCGUAGAUAUUCGGAAGAACACCAGUGGCGAAGGCGGCUCACUGGACUGGUAUUGACGCUGAGGUGGCGAAAAGCG
rnacentral:rRNA from 1 species